AGCGAACGCUGGCGGCAGGCCUAAUACAUGCAAGUCGAACGGCUCUUCGGAGCAGUGGCGGACGGGUGAGUAACGCGUGGGAACGUGCCCUUUGGUUCGGAACAACACAGGGAAACUUGUGCUAAUACCGAAUGUGCCCUUCGGGGGAAAGAUUUAUCGCCAUUGGAGCGGCCCGCGUUGGAUUAGCUAGUUGGUGGGGUAAAGGCCCACCAAGGCUACGAUCCAUAGCUGGUCUGAGAGGAUGAUCAGCCACACUGGGACUGAGACACGGCCCAGACUCCUACGGGAGGCAGCAGUAGGGAAUCUUGCGCAAUGGGCGAAAGCCUGACGCAGCCAUGCCGCGUGAAUGAUGAAGGUCUUAGGAUUGUAAAAUUCUUUCACCGGGGAAGAUAAUGACGGUACCCGGAGAAGAAGCCCCGGCUAACUUCGUGCCAGCAGCCGCUGUAAAAC
rnacentral:rRNA from 1 species